GAGCGAACGGAAAUGGCUCUGCAGUGCGCAAUCUGACCCCACCUUCCCCGGGGGCUCCUGGUUGUGGUCCAGGCGGUCGUGGGUUCGAGUCCCAUCGCUCA
rnacentral:tRNA from 1 species